ACCUGGCUGGCUCAGUCAGUGGAGCAUGUAACUCUGGAUCUCAGGGUUGUGAGUUCAAGUCCCACGUUGGGUG
rnacentral:tRNA from 1 species